CCCUCAAUGCCCACCUGCAUAUAAUUGACACCACUAUUCAAUAACUGAUUAAAUGACCAAAUUAAAAACUUUUCUGGUAAGUGGUCCAGAUAACAACUGAGAAGCGAGAGGAAGCAAAAUACUUUUCAUUUAUAUCCCUUCCUAGACGAAAAAAAUAUACAUGUAUGUAUGCCUAUAGUCAUUCAACAAACAAAUGAUAACUUGGCUUCGCGUUCUUUCAGCUUUCCUUCGAAUCCACUCCACUAACGAAUAUGUAUCUUGGACUCAAAUAGAACUGAAACCAAACAUACCAAAAAGAUAAACAUCUCAACAAAGCAAAAGACCCCAUUACUCAAAUUAUACAAUAAACAACACUCAUCCAAAAGAAUCCACUAAAUCUCCAAAAUGACAAAACACAUCUACAGUUCUGCUAACGGGUUCGAAGAAUCUUGGCUCAGAGAGCCUCAGACCAUAUAUUUGUGUUAAAAGAUCCACUCAAUAUGUAUAAAUAAUUUAUUCCGAACAAAGCAUUCAAUAACCAUAAACUAAAAAUCCUAGCUCCACAUAUAUUAUUAAAUAUAAGGACAGAAACAUGAACGAAUGACUAAAAUGAGAAUUCUCGAGCAACAGAACCAAUGAAAUUAGAUCCAGGUUUGGUCAUACGAAUAACUAAAAAAAGAAACAAAGAAGAAUAACAGCACACCUGAGUGUAGACCAAGAAAAUCAAAUGGGAAGUUGGAAGUUGGAACCAAUACUAUUAACUACUGUAUAUGAAAGAAGAAGAGUUUGGCGUUAGUGGGUGUUGAGAUAACAGAACUGCAGAACCAAUUAAAAGACCAACUCAGUCAAAGAUCUGUGGAAUGUCAGUUAAAGUGUUUAGGUAACAAUUACUCCAACGACAGAGGAAGGAACGCUCUAUGCAUUAAAGAAAAAGGGAUUAUUUUAUUCUUUUCGGACAGUUUUUAAUGGGUUUUCCUCUGGGUUUGAAGCUAAUAUUUUCGAAUACCGAAAAGGACCCAAGAGCGCAUGUGAUGCAGAAUGGAAACACCGCAGAGUCUACACUUUUUUCAUGACACCCUUUUUAAGCUUUCUUUUUUUGUUUGUUUAGGAUUUGUUUAUUUUGAAAUUAAUCUGAGAUUCAUUCCCGCCCUUUAUAGACGAAGUGGUGUACUGUAGAAGGGAGUAUUUUUAAUAUUCAGUUAAGAAGGGAGAGUAAUAAUUUGAUGCACAGAAAAACUGACAGAGGUCUGUGCCUGAACUUCUACGCUUCCUCUGUAUGCUUUUUUUCGUCUUCUCUUGGUUCCUUCAAUAACAAGAUCUGCUUUAGAAAUUUGGAGUACCAUUUUGCAAAGGCCAAAUAAUGGUUUAUUUCUUUUCUCUUUGCUUGUUUCUCCACAGAGGCAAGUUUGCGUCAGGCCCUUACGAGCGAAGGCAUUAAAAAUUACCUCUUCU
rnacentral:lncRNA from 1 species